rnacentral:rRNA from 1 species
GCCUAGCCGUAACACACAAUUAAACAACCAAUUGUUCGCCAAACAACUACGAGCUAUACUUGAAACUUAAAAGACUUGACGGUACUUCAUCACGGCCUAGAGGAGCCUGUCUAAUAACCGACAAUCCACGAUUAACCCAACCCCUUCUUGCCCAACAGUCUAUAUACCGCCGUCGCCAGCUUACCUUGUAAAAGAAAUAAAGUGAGCUAAAUAAUACAACACUAAAACGACAGGUCGAGGUGUAACUUAUGAAGGGGCCAAGAUGGGCUACAUUCUCUCCGAGAAUACGAAUAACACUAUGAAAUUAGUGCUUGAAGGCGGAUUUAGCAGUAAGCUAAGAAUAAAAUACUUAACUGAACAUAACGCAAUG